rnacentral:lncRNA from 1 species
UGCGGCGGUGACAAGGCGGAGGACCCUUUCCGUUUCUGCUGCGGCCCGGUGCUGCCUUCUACUCGCAGGGGCAGCAAGAGUCUACGCAGAGACUCGUAGCAUCUCGAGGCGGCGAGAUUGAAGAAACGGUGAGGAUAGGGAGCAGGUAGCCGGAUUAAACGGUGAAAUUAAGAGACGGUGAGAUUAAGAAAUGGUGAGAUUAUCUCGCAAAAAAAAACGCUGGGAUUAAGAAACUACUCUAGUACUACAGUACACUGGAGGGUGUCACUCUAGUACUCCAUGGACGUGUCACCCCCGAGCCCGGAUGCAUGCGGUGAUAACAAACAUCUUCAAGUUGCUUCCGAGAAACAGAAGCUUUUUUAUAUAUUUAGGCCUUGUUUAGUUCCAUCGAAAUCCAAAAAGUUUCCAAGAUUUCUCAUCACAUCGAAUCUUGCAGCAUAUGUAUGAAGCACUAAAUAUAAACGAAAAUAAAAACUAAUUAUACAGUUUAUCUGUAAAUCGCGAGACGAAUCUUUUGACCCUAGUUAAUCUAUGAUUAGAUAAUAUUUGUCACAAUAGCAAAAUUCAAAAAAAAAAUAAUUCACAUUUAAACAAGGCAAACUGAAAGUUUUCGGAAAUAAACAAGCCGUGAGAUAGGGAGAAUACUUGACCGCAUGGAUAUUGUCUGCCGGUGAGAACAGAUGACCUUUUUUUUUGCUGCUGCUGGCCGGCGGUAUGCGUCCCUAGCUCGGUGGACCGUUGA